rnacentral:rRNA from 1 species
GACGAAGGGGGCUAGCGUUGUUCGGAAUUACUGGGCGUAAAGCGCGUGUAGGCGGUUGCCAAAGUCGGGUGUGAAAGCCUUGAGCUCAACUCAAGAACUGCACUCGAUACUUGGUGACUAGAGGACCGGAGAGGAUAGUGGAAUUCCCAGUGUAGUGGUGAAAUGCGUAGAUAUCGUAAGGAAGACCAGUGGCGAAGGCGGGUCUCUGGACAGUUCCUGACGCUGAGGCACGAAGGUCAGGGGAGCAAACGGG